rnacentral:ncRNA from 1 species
UCCCGUCGCAUAUGCGGGUUAUCAUAUGCACCUCCCUGUUGGACCUGGCCCCGGAUUUUAUCCGGGGUCUUUUUU